UCUGCUAGUUUUGGACACCCAAUAUUAUUAAGUUUUCUCAUUCUUACUUCAGAUAUUAGUCUGGAAGUCUGAGCAUUAUGCAAAUAGAGCAAGUAAGACUUAAAGAUGGACAGUGAAUGUGGAAGAUAGAAAAAUCUAAACAAGAUGAAAGAAGAAAGGAGAUUUGAAAAAAACCCAAACUGUCUGUCACAUAUCAGGGGCACAACAUCUGGACAUAGGUAGCAGACAGACUGCCUGUUGCCCUGAUCCAGCUGCUUUCUUCUGGCUCAGCCUGAAAACUCAGGAGAGUGCACAAGUAGGGAUUAAUGAGCUGUUUUCAGGGAAAGCAGAUGCUCCAGGGAAGAUGACAGAAAAUGUUUGCCCUUACAUUCUGGUUUUCAAUGGAGCAAAGAAAUUGCAGGAGAGAGAGCAAGGAUCUUUAAAACAGUCAAGAUUCAAAGCAUGUAGUGCUUUGAAAAUCAAUACAGCAACCUUGAACAUGGGAUCUUUGUGUGAAGAGCUAGUGCAAACAGUUCAGUAGGGAAGAGAAAAUGCUAGAUAAUGAUUUCUAAACCAGACAUACCCUACCUUCCUUUAUAAAACGGGAUAUUUGGAUAAACUACACGAAAAAUGCUCUCAAGCAAAUGGAAAAGAAGCAUGAUUAAAGCACAGAAACAGGAGAGUUGUCAUGAAGAAAAGAAGGAAAUUGACCGGUGAACAAGAUGAAGAGUUGGGAUGAGGCUCCUUUGUCUAUGCACGUGUAAUACUGCUACUUGAUCAGAGAGCUAAAAUAGUAAAAAGAUAAGAUAAACCCACAUUAAAAAUAGCAUAUUUAUACUAGAAGAAAACAGUCUUUCCUUCACCUUGUCAUUCUUGCUUCCUGUGCAAAGAGAAUGCAAACAUUUUGAUCAUUGUUGCACUAUGCAAUAAGACAGGGACCUACCAUGCAAACCACAUAUCAAUUCAGACUUCUUUUCUACUGUGUUAUUUUAAUUUUUUUAUAUAGAAAUGUGAUCAUUUGCAGGAGCAGCUUCUGCAUGCUUACAUAUGUGAUAAAAUUCUUGGCUGUGUGAAAAGCAGGCAAAUACAAAAACCAUGCCAUUGCAUCUGGCACUAUGUUUCAACCCUGCUACCCCAAAAUUGAGUCUAUA
rnacentral:lncRNA from 1 species